rnacentral:rRNA from 1 species
UACGUAGGGUGCGAGCGUUGUCCGGAAUUAUUGGGCGUAAAGAGCUCGUAGGCGGUUUGUUGCGUCUAUCGUGAAAACCUGGGGCUCAACCUCGAGACGCCGGUGGAAACCAUCUAGCUAGAGUCCGGAAGAGGAGAGUGGAAUUCCUGGUGUAGCGGUGAAAUGCGCAGAUAUCAGGAAGAACACCUAUGGCGAAGGCAGCUCUCUGGGACGGUACUGACGCUGAGACGCGAAAGCGUGGGGAGCGAACAGG